UUAAAACCGAUUUUAUUUUACAGCAAAUUAAAACCAAAAAUUAAUAAAUACUUAUGAGAGAUUUUAGGAAUGAUAAUUUUUGAAGUAAUGCUAGAUUUUUUUUGAAGUAAUGGUGGAGUUAAUAUAGAGAGAUUUUAGGCAAUAUUUUUGUUAGGUAAAUAUUUGAUUUAAAAUGUCAAUUGAAAAAAAUAUACUCAGUGGCAUUGAGUCGUAAAUAAGUUCGAAGUCUAAGAUUUAUUUGUUAAAAUGACUGCAAAAAUGUAUAUGUAGAUUUUACCCUUAUUUGAAAAAGGGAGAUUUGCAAAACUGCCCUUAUUCUAAUAACCUUUUGUAAAAGUGCCCUUUCCUAAAGGCCAUUUUUAAAACUACCCCUUCUAAUAUGCCAAAUGACUGUCUUACCCUCUGAAUGAUUAGGUUUCACGUUGGUUUCACAAACUUCUUCUUUUUGGCACAAAGUUCUUCGUUUUCCUCUCCGAUUUUCCUCUCCGAUUUCACUCAAAAUCGCCGGCGAAUUUCCUUCUGAUUUCACUCAAAAUCGCCGACGAAUUCCCUCUCCGAUUUCACUCAAAAUCGCCAACGAAUUUCCUCUCCGAUUUCACUCAAAAUCGCCGACGAAUUUUCUUUCUGAGAAUCCCCAAAAUCGCCGACGAAUUUCCUCUCCAAUAAACCUGUUCUUCGCUGAAGGAUUCAGAUCAUUUCUCUACGACGCAAACAAUCCCCAGAGAUAUCGAUAGAUCAGACGGUAACCGUUUUUAUAAUCGAUUUUAUAGUCGAUUUUAUAGUCAAUUUUAUAGUAGAUCUGACGCUGUUUCAUAACAUGUUUUGCAGAUGGAUUCAGAGAGUGAAAUCCUUACAUUGCCUGAACAAAUCUACAGAGAAGGUGAGGAAUCUAUUGCACUGGGAACCGUUCAACAAUACUCGGAUUGGAAUUUAGUUAGUAAAGUAGAGGAAGCUUUAGGCGAGUGUUUAUUUCAGAAGAUUAGAAGUUCGUUUUUUGGUCCUCUAGUUGAAUUGGGACCAAAAAUGAAGGCUAAGAAGGGAAUCAGAUUUUCUGGAAAAAUCUUUCACUAUCUCAUGCAGCAGAGAGUGAAAACAAAAGGAUCAACUCUUUGGUUUAGAGUGGAUUCUCAACCUAUCCGUUUCUCCUUGAGAGAGUUCUAUCUCACAACAGGUAAUAAAGUUUUACAAUCGUUUUUAAAGCUUAAUUAACUGUCGUAGAAUGAUUUACAAGGCAUUUGCAUAACUGUUUGCGUAGUUUACAAUCGUUUUUAAAACAUAAGUAAGUGUCAUAGAUAAUUUACAAGGGAUUUUAAAAGCUUUUAAAAGGGGUUUACUUCAUUAACAAUCGUUUAAGAAGCAUAAGUUAGUGGCAGAUAAUGAUUUACAAGGGAUUUUAAAAAGGGUAUGCAUGGUUUACAACCGUUUUUAGGCAUAAGUAACUAGCAUAGAAUAAUUUACAAGGGAUUUUAAAAGCUUAAAGAAGUGUUAAACACGUUUACAAGGGAUUUUAAAAGCAUAAGUAAGUGUCUUAAAACGAUUUACAAGGGAUUUUAUAAGUGUUUGCAUAGUUUACAAUCGAUUUUAAAACAUAAGUAAGUGGCAUAGAAUAUUUACAAGGGAUUUUAAAACCUUUUCUAAGGGUUAAACAUGAUUAGUAAUCGUUUUUUAAGCAUAAGUAAGUUGAAUAGAAUGAUUUACAAGAGAUUUUAAAAGCUUUUAGAAGGGUUAAACAUGAUUUACAAUCGUUUUUAAAGCAUAAGUAAGUGUCAUAUAAUGAUUUACAAGGGAUUUUAAAAGUGUCUACAUGGUUUACAAUCGUUUUUAAAGCAUAAGUAAGUGGCAUUGAAUGAUUUAUAAGGGAUUUUAAAAGCUUUUAAAAGUGUUAAACAUGAUUUACAAUCGUUUUUAAAGUAUUUACUAUAAAACCUGUAAUAAUAGUCUCUACACUGUCUUUUGUUCAUACAGGAAUUCAAUGUGAACCUGUUCAUAGGGAACUUCGACGAAAGGGGAAAGAUCCUGUAAAAGAACCAUACUUUUGGGCUAGUAAAAGAUCCUAUACUCUUGGUGAUCUCGAAGAUCGAUUGUUUUUAAAACCUAAGGAAGGUGAACCUGCUGUUGAAGAUGAAGAAAAGUUGUGUCUUGCUGCAGUAGUGUUGAUUGAAGGAAUUCUUUUGACACCAUAUGGAAAAGAGAAGAUACCUUUGCCAAGAUUGCAGCAUGCUUCUGAUUUUGAGAUGUACACAGCCCAACCGUGGGUAAAGAAGCAUUCAAUGUUCUAUCAAAUUCAAUUCUGAGAAUGGACGAGAAAACUUGGGCAAAAGAGAAAUAUGAUUUGAGAGGAUUUGGACUAGCGCUAACAAUAUGGGUGUUGAGCGCAGUUCCAGCAUUUGGUGCAGCAUAUGGAGUUAAAGAUAAGGAAUUCCAAUCUGAAUAUCCAUUGAUAUUGAAGUGGAAAAGCACUACUACUCCAGAGUUUUUCAAGAUCGUAAACCUUGUAAAUGAUGUUUCUGAGUUAAGCUUUUGUCUAUUUACAGAAUUCUUUAAAUGGUUUUUAGAUUUGAAGUUCUGCUUUCUCAAGAUUUGUAAUGUUAUUGUAUCUUCGCAGAUGGAGGUGAAUACAAUUAUUGGAAAUCCAGAAGAAUUCAAGUCUUUAGUUCCUGAUUUCCACACAGACGACACAAAAUUCCAACAUAUUUUGGGACUAGUUAAUAUGGGCUACAGAUUGAAGAAAACUGAAUGGAAUACAAGAUGCGUUGAUGUUUGUGCUGCCCUUGAAGAAGUAGGUCAAAACAAAAUCAAUAACAAAAUAUCUGAUAGCGAGAAGCUUGACAGGAUUUUGACAAUCCUUGAAGAUCUUAACAAGAGAGUCGAGCUGAUUGAGAAGAUUUUGGACAUUAGAAUGGAGGAAAAGAAUAAUCAGAGAUCUGAGGAAGAUGAAGAAAGAAAACAAGAAGAUGAAGGAGUAGAAAGACAACCAGAGGUAAUUGUAAAUGUUUCUUUAAAAGCUAUUUGAAAGGAAAGGUUUUACAAUGUAUUUUAAAGGUUAAAUACGUAGUAAACCUUUACAAUGUACUCUUUUUUUCGCAGGCUGAAGAAGAAGGAGGACUAGAAAGAAAAGCAGAGGUAAUUGAAAAUCUUUACAAGCUAUUUUAAAGGUCUACUAAUUAUAUUAAUGAUUGACUUAUUGUUUUUAUUUUGUUACAGAAUGACAAUGAAUCAUUUGAAGAUUCAAUCCGAGAGCCAAACACACAGUAUGGGAGCUAUCCGGGUGAUGAUGAAAACACCCAACGUGAUGUUGGUGAUGAAUUAGUUGAAGAAUCAUCAAAAGUACAGUAAUUUAUAUCUCUAAAAGUCUUACAAAAAUGAUUAGUAUCCUUUUUAUAAUUUUACAUUCUGUUAUCUUUUCAAGGAUAAGUCUCCUACUCCACGAUCCUCUACACCAAAUUUCAAUAUUUUGUCUGAAGAAAGUCUGGAUGUUCAAAAGGAUAAGAAGAGAGUUAGCAGAGGAAGAAAUGAGGUUAGCAUUUAAAA
rnacentral:sRNA from 1 species